CGCGUAGGCGGGAAUGCAAGUCAGAUGUGAAAUCCAGGGGCUUAACCCUUGAACUGCAUUUGAAACUGUAUUUCUUGAGUGUCGGAGAGGUUGACGGAAUUCCUAGUGUAGCGGUGAAAUGCGUAGAUAUUAGGAGGAACACCAGUGGCGAAGGCGGUCAACUGGACGAUAACUGACGCUGAGGCGCGAAAGCGUGGGAGCAAACA
rnacentral:rRNA from 1 species